UAAACAUUGACAGUCCAUUACAUCCACUGUCCGCCUGGGUACUACGAGCAUCAGCUUAAAACCCAAAGGACUUGGCGGUGCUUUAGAUCCACCUAGAGGAGCCUGUUCUAGAACCGAUAAUCCCCGUUAAACCUCACCCUUCCUUGUUCUUUCCGCCUAUAUACCACCGUCGUCAGCUUACCCUGUGAAGGACCCAUACUAAGCACAAUUGGUAUAACCCAAAACGUCAGGUCGAGGUGUAGCGUAUG
rnacentral:rRNA from 1 species